rnacentral:rRNA from 1 species
GAUGAACGCUGGCGGCGUGCCUAAUACAUGCAAGUCGAGCGAACGGACGAGAAGCUUGCUUCUCUGAUGUUAGCGGCGGACGGGUGAGUAACACGUGGAUAACCUACCUAUAAGACUGGGAUAACUUCGGGAAACCGGAGCUAAUACCGGAUGAUAUUUUGAACCGCAUGGUUCAAAAGUGAAAGACGGUCUUGCUGUCACUUAUAGAUGGAUCCGCGCUGCAUUAGCUAGUUGGUAAGGUAACGGCUUACCAAGGCAACGAUGCAUAGCCGACCUGAGAGGGUGAUCGGCCACACUGGAACUGAGACACGGUCCAGACUCCUACGGGAGGCAGCAGUAGGGAAUCUUCCGCAAUGGGCGAAAGCCUGACGGAGCAACGCCGCGUGAGUGAUGGAGGUCUUCGGAUCGUAAAACUCUGUUAUUAGGGAAGAACAUAUGUGUAAGUAACUGUGCACAUCUUGACGGUACCUAAUCAGAAAGCCACGGCUAACUACGUGCCAGCAGCCGCGGUAAUACGUAGGUGGGCAGCGUUAUCCGGAAUAAUUGGCCGUAAAGCGCGCGUAGCGGUUUUUUAGUCUGAUGUGAAAGCCCACGGCUCAACCGUGGAGGGUCAUUGGAAACUGGAAAACUUGAGUGCAGAAGAGGAAAGUGGAAUUCCAUGUGUAGCGGUGAAAUGCGCAGAGAUAUGGAGGAACACCAGUGGCGAAGGCGACUUUCUGGUCUGUAACUGACGCUGAUGUGCGAAAGCGUGGGGAUCAAACAGGAUUAGAUACCCUGGUAGUCCACGCCGUAAACGAUGAGCGCUAGGUGUUAGGGGGUUUCCGCCCCUUAGUGCUGCAGCUAACGCAUUAAGCACUCCGCCUGGGGAGUACGACCGCAAGGUUGAAACUCAAAGGAAUUGACGGGGACCCGCACAAGCGGUGGAGCAUGUGGUUUAAUUCGAAGCAACGCGAAGAACCUUACCAAAUCUUGACAUCCUUUGACAACUCUAGAGAUAGAGCCUUCCCCUUCGGGGGACAAAGUGACAGGUGGUGCAUGGUUGUCGUCAGCUCGUGUCGUGAGAUGUUGGGUUAAGUCCCGCAACGAGCGCAACCCUUAAGCUUAGUUGCCAUCAUUAAGUUGGGCACUCUAAGUUGACUGCCGGUGACAAACCGGAGGAAGGUGGGGAUGACGUCAAAUCAUCAUGCCCCUUAUGAUUUGGGCUACACACGUGCUACAAUGGACAAUACAAAGGGCAGCGAAACCGUGAGGUCAAGCAAAUCCCAUAAAGUUGUUCUCAGUUCGGAUUGUAGUCUGCAACUCGACUACAUGAAGCUGGAAUCGCUAGUAAUCGUAGAUCAGCAUGCUACGGUGAAUACGUUCCCGGGUCU